rnacentral:tRNA from 1 species
CAGGGGGUAGUUUUAUUAAAAUAUUAAAUUUGGGUUUUAAAGUUAGGAUUAAUGUUUCUUCCUCUGA